UACGUAGGGGGCAAGCGUUGUCCGGAAUCAUUGGGCGUAAAGAGCGUGUAGGCGGCCUGGUAAGUCCGCUGUGAAAGUCCAGGGCUCAACCCUGGAAUGACGGUGGAAACUGUCAGGCUCGAGUCCGGAAGAGGCGAGUGGAAUUCCUGGUGUAGCGGUGAAAUGCGCAGAUAUCAGGAGGAACACCAAUGGCGAAGGCAGCUCGCUGGGACGGUACUGACGCUGAGACGCGAAAGCGUGGGGAGCGAACAGG
rnacentral:rRNA from 1 species